CUACGUCCGAACAUUACCGUGUCAGACCAUGGCACUCAGUCUUUCCUUAAACACCUUUAGGGACGGUGAUUGCACCACUUCCCUGAGCAGCCCAUUCCAAUGUCUGAUCACACUUUCUGUGGAGAAAUUACUCAUGAUGUCCAACCUUAACCUCCCCUGGUGCAGCUGGAGGUCGUUUUCUCCUGUCCUGUCGCCAUUGCCUGGGCGAAGAGGCCGAUCCUCACCUGCCUACAUCCUCCUGUCAGACCACCGGGGAACUCCUUUAGCUGUGACAUUGUAAUGGGAGGUGGAGACACCUCGAGGAGAAGGUCGAGACAGACAACAGCAAUUCCAGUCAAUAACAUCCUGACUUGCCUCGAUUACAGUGCUGAAUAUUCAAGCCC